ensembl:lncRNA
CGUUAGCAGUCACAAGUCAAUCGCUCCCCUGUAUAUCAAUUCCUCUUCCUCUCCAAGCUCGGAGAAUGGAAAGAAGAAGAAGAAGAUGAAGAAGUCAAAGAAGAAGAAGGGAAAGAAAGUAACAACGGAGAGAGGAAACAAAAAGAUCAGACGGAGCCGUGUUUCAAGGGCACGUGGUCCAGAUGAGGUAAUUGCACGUUACCGGAAAGUGUUGAAGGUCUACAAGAAGAAGAAUACCGUCACUGCUGCUUGCAGAAUAGUGGGAGUGAAUUGCAAUACAAUUGCCUUGAAUGCACCAAUUGCAGAGCUUUCCAUUGCUGCACCUGAAAAGUUUGCGGAGUUUAAAGAUCAGCAUACAACAAAGCACAGGUUUUGUAGUCUGUUGCCUGUUGGAAAAGGGGAAUUUUGAAUUGAUGUUGUGCUGAUAGACCAUGUUUUAAAAAAAAGUUAAGUUAAAUGUUCAGGGGAAAAAAAAUAAUAAUAAUCUACCUCAGUUUUAUCAUGCGCUUUAAGGUAAUUUCAAUGUUUUUGAUAAUAUGACUAGAUUUUAACAGACCCUGAAAGUGUUUUUAUUUUUUACAUUUGUAGUCCAC